GACGAACGCUGGCGGCGUGCUUAACACAUGCAAGUCGAGCGGAGCGGCGAACGGGUGAGUAACGCGUGAGUAACUGCCCCCCUCUCUGGGAUAACAGUUGGAAACGGCUGCUAAUACCGGAUCGUUGGGGAUGGAUCGCGUCCUAUCAGCUUGUUGGUGGGGUAGUGGCCUACCAAGGCGACGACGGGUAGCCGGCCUGAGAGGGCGACCGGACACAUUGGGCUGGGAUACGGACCGAACGCUUACGGGAGGAAGCAGGGGGGAAUAUUGCACAAUGGGGGAAACCUUGAUGCAGCAACGCGCGUGCGGGAGGACGGCCUGCGGGUUGUAAACCGCUUUCGGCCAUGACGCGGUAGUGGCAGAAGAAGCACCGGCUAACUACGUGACAGCAGCCGCGGUAAUAC
rnacentral:rRNA from 1 species